ACUAAGCGUACACGGUGGAUGCCCUGGCAGUCAGAGGCGAUGAAGGACGUGCUAAUCUGCGAUAAGCGUCGGUAAGGUGAUAUGAACCGUUAUAACCGGCGAUUUCCGAAUGGGGAAACCCAGUGUGUUUCGACACACUAUCAUUAACUGAAUCCAUAGGUUAAUGAGGCGAACCGGGGGAACUGAAACAUCUAAGUACCCCGAGGAAAAGAAAUCAACCGAGAUUCCCCCAGUAGCGGCGAGCGAACGGGGAGGAGCCCAGAGCCUGAAUCAGUGUGUGUGUUAGUGGAAGCGUCUGGAAAGGCGCGCGAUACAGGGUGACAGCCCCGUACACAAAAAUACACAUAUUGUGAGCUCGAUGAGUAGGGCGGGACACGUGGUAUCCUGUCUGAAUAUGGGGGGACCAUCCUCCAAGGCUAAAUACUCCUGACUGACCGAUAGUGAACCAGUACCGUGAGGGAAAGGCGAAAAGAACCCCGGCGAG
rnacentral:rRNA from 1 species